rnacentral:rRNA from 1 species
UACGUAGGGGGCAAGCGUUGUCCGGAUUUAUUGGGCGUAAAGAGCGUGUAGGCGGCCAGAUAGGUCAGCUGUGAAAACUCGAGGCUCAACCUCGAGAUGUCGGCUGAAACCAUCUGGCUAGAGUCCGGAAGAGGAGAGUGGAAUUUCUGGUGUAGCGGUGAAAUGCGCAGAUAUCAGGAAGAACACCAAUGGCGAAGGCAGCUCUCUGGGACGGUACUGACGCUGAGACGCGAAAGCGUGGGGAGCGAACAGG